rnacentral:rRNA from 1 species
UGCAGUCGAACGGUAACAUUUCUAGCUUGCUAGAAGAUGACGAGUGGCGGACGGGUGAGUAAUGCUUGGGAACUUGCCUUUGCGAGGGGGAUAACAGUUGGAAACGACUGCUAAUACCGCAUAAUGUCUACGGACCAAACGGGGCUUCGGCUCCGGCGCAAAGAGAGGCCCAAGUGAGAUUAGCUAGUUGGUAAGGUAACGGCUUACCAAGGCGACGAUCUCUAGCUGUUCUGAGAGGAAGAUCAGCCACACUGGGACUGAGACACGGCCCAGACUCCUACGGGAGGCAGCAGUGGGGAAUAUUGCACAAUGGGGGAAACCCUGAUGCAGCCAUGCCGCGUGUGUGAAGAAGGCCUUCGGGUUGUAAAGCACUUUCAGUUGUGAGGAAAAGUUAGUAGUUAAUACCUGCUAGCCGUGACGUUAACAACAGAAGAAGCACCGGCUAACUCCGUGCCAGCAGCCGCGGUAAUACGGAGGGUGCGAGCGUUAAUCGGAAUUACUGGGCGUAAAGCGCACGCAGGCGGUUUGUUAAGCUAGAUGUGAAAGCCCCGGGCUCAACCUGGGAUGGUCAUUUAGAACUGGCAGACUAGAGUCUUGGAGAGGGGAGUGGAAUUCCAGGUGUAGCGGUGAAAUGCGUAGAUAUCUGGAGGAACAUCAGUGGCGAAGGCGACUCCCUGGCCAAAGACUGACGCUCAUGUGCGAAAGUGUGGGUAGCGAACAGGACUAGAUACCCUGGUAGUCCACACCGUAAACGCUGUCUACUAGCUGUGUGUGUCUUUAAGACGUGCGUA